AAUGCUAUUUUCUUUGAAGCUGAUCUGCUGUCUGCUAAUGUUUAUUGAACACAGAAUCAAAGAGGAUACAGCUCUGAGCAUCAGGAGGUUAGGUCAACACAAGUUCACCUCAGAUGCGUAAUGUCAGCAAUCUAUUACUGUACAGCUUACUCAGCGUACUCUAUUUAACCAUAGAAUGUUGAGUUGUUUUGUACAAACCAUAACAUUCCAUUAUACAUAUUUAUUACACGCCUCUGUGGAAUACUUGAUUCUGAUUGGUCAGUCGCGAGUCGACAUCCCUAGAUAACAACAAAGGCUCAUCCGGGUAACCGCAGUUCCACUGCACACUUGCUUGAACAAUUUUUCUUCUUGGUGGAAGCUUUGCGUUUUUUUAGCUAAAAAAAAAUAUUAAAACUUGAUUCGAAAUAGUGGACAGUUAUUUAAUUAAGUCAUCCUGGUAUCGCGAACUCGCUCUCCAUUUCAUUCAAAUGCAGCUGCUGCCAUUUUAAGCAGCUGCUGGUAAGGUUUUAACAUUUUUUAGUCUUAAUUAUUUUGCCUUAAUUAUUUUGUGGUGAAAUGUUGUGUAAUAAACAGUGGUGUAUAAAGUACUUGAAAUUCAUAAUCAAGUAAAAUACAGGUAUCUUACCAGAAAAAAAAACAUACACACACACACACGGAACAAAAUAUCGAUGAAUCAUCCAGCACUACACAGGUUUUUAUCCAAUCAGAUGCGCUCUGGAAUGAGAAUUUCCCUCCCACUAAAUGAUCGCUCUUCUCUACUCUAAUCAUGGUUCGUCGGUGUGUAUUUGGUUGUUCUAACGCACGUACUUUAUUUUGUUUCCCAACCACAAACUGGUUACGAAAAAAGUGGCUGGAGUUUAUACAUUUCGAAGAAGGGGCUAUUUGCGCCAGCUCGCGGCUAUGUGACAGGCACUUCUCUGACGAAUCCUUCACCAAUUUGGGGAUGGUUACUGCUGGGAUAACGUGCUACCUUACAUUAGCAAACACGGCUGUUCCGACUCUUUACACUGUAGGCGCUUCCCCUCCCGCACGACCAAUAACACGCGAGGUGGGCUGCCAGUGUAAUACUCCGCUUCUGAAGAGCGUUGCGGUCCAAGCAGUACGCACCCAAAAAAAGCCAAAACGGAGAAGUAAAGCCAUUCAAGUGAGACCUCUUUUGAGUCAUUGUGCUAGUGUGCCCUGCUCGGAUGAGGAUUUUUCAGUCAAAUCUGAAUCUUCAUUAACAUUAACACCAAUUAAAAGGCCACGCAUGGAGGAUUCCCCUGAGAGGUCUACACACAGCUCAGAAGAACCAACAGAUGACACCCACGUGCCUAAUAUAAUUAAAGAAGAUGACAUAAAGGUAGCAAAAAUCUUUCUAGUGAUGUCCGGAGGCUUCUCUCGUGUAUGUCUACCAGAGUAUGGGUCCUUUACCCCACAAAUCAUAGAUCGAGUUAGUCUACAUGCCCCUCACUUUCUGAUCCAUGUUCAGGCUUGAGCCCUGUGAGUCUUCGUACAUCGUCGUCACCAUCUGAAUCCUCCAUUUCGUCAUCUGCAGAAAACAGAAUCUGACCAGCACAGGAGGAAGAGGCCAAAGAUGAGAAAGAUGUACUUCUGACAUGUCUACAAAUUCGUAUUUGACAUGGAUAAAGCAUGUGGAUGGAAAUGCCACACUCAAAUGACAUGCCUCGUCUCAAAUCUAACACUAUCACAGGAAAUACAUGUAUUCAAGAGAUGUUGUUGUGUCAAACAUCAUAAAUAAAGAAAUAUUAGUAGCAUGUAAGGAAACCACAUACACUGUGUUCUAUUUGGCCUAAAACAAAAACUGUCUUCCACUGAAAAGUCCAUUAAUGGAUGUUUUGUUAAUCGGAACAUUCUGUGCAGCCUUUUCUUUAAGGCAUACCUACUUUGUUAGAUUGUAAACUCACUGACUUGUCAUUGUUAUAAUCACUUCAGGUCUGGAGGGUUGGGAAUGAUUAAGGAGCUGUCUUGCACACAAUGGGCCGGUAUUUGUACAAUGGAAAAAGGGAGAUGUAAAAGGGGGAUGUCCCAUCUAGCACUUGGGUAGAGGGAUGAUUUUGAAUUUAACAUUGUAGGUCAAAGGAAAGCCCAAAAUAUAAAUUCUGACAUUUAAAAGAUGUUUAAGGAGAAGCAAGAGUGUCUUGCCAAAACAAAUCUGUUUCAGAUCUCAAAUGUUAAUACAUUUGUUGAUUUGUUUUAAUAAGUGUUUUAUACAUUCCAUAAAUAAUGUUAUUUAUGAAUUAAAUGUAUUAUUUAUGUCAUCAGUCAUUUUGUUUAAUGGAAAUACAU